rnacentral:lncRNA from 1 species
CCAGAGUUACUAGAGUCUCAUCAGCUUUGUAUUUCUUGCAAGACUUUCAAGAUAAGCAAUAUCUUUCAAAUUCAGUUUUGACAAACUUGUAAACUUUCCUUUAAAGUUUUAUGUCAAUUCUUGCAAGGCACUGUACAAACAAUUCAAUUUGUGGCAUUUUAGAUUAGGUCAUAUAUGUUUGAAUAGAAUAAAUGUCAUCCACGAACAACGUCCAAAUAUUGAAUGUUCAAAGGAUUAGUUUGUGAAAUCUGCCUUUCUGUAAAAUAAAAAAAAG